GACGAAGGGGGCUAGCGUUGUUCGGAAUUAUUGGGCGUAAAGGGCGCGUAGGCGGCUAGAUGUGUCAAAGGUGAAAUCCCUCGGCUCAACUGAGGAACUGCCUUUGAAACUGUCUGGCUUGAGGCCGGGAGAGGGUAGCGGAAUUCCCAGUGUAGCGGUGAAAUGCGUAGAUAUUGGGAGGAACACCAGUGGCGAAGGCGGCUACCUGGACCGGUUCUGACGCUGAGGCGCGAAAGCGUGGGUAGCAAACAGG
rnacentral:rRNA from 1 species